rnacentral:rRNA from 1 species
GGUUAAGCGAACAAGCGUACACGGUGGAUGCCCUGGCAGUCAGAGGCGAUGAAGGACGUGCUAAUCUGCGAAAAGCGCCGGUAAGGUGAUAUGAACCGUUAUAACCGGCGAUGUCCGAAUGGGGAAACCCGGUGCACUUCGGUGCAUCAUCGUUAGCUGAAUACAUAGGCUAACGAGGCGAACCGGGGGAACUGAAACAUCUAAGUACCCCGAGGAAAAGAAAUCAACCGAGAUUCCCCCAGUAGCGGCGAGCGAACGGGGAACAGCCCAGAGCCUGAAUCAGCUUGUGUGUCAGUGGAACGGUCUGGAAAGGCCGGCGAUACAGGGUGACAGCCCCGUACACGAAGGCACACAGGCUGUGAGCUCGAUGAGUAGGGCGGGACACGUGAUAUCCUGUCUGAAGAUGGGGGGACCAUCCUCCAAGGCUAAAUACUCCUGACUGACCGAUAGUGAACCAGUACCGUGAGGGAAAGGCGAAAAGAACCCCGGCGAGGGGAGUGAAACAGAACCUGAAACCGUGUACGUACAAGCAGUGGGAGCCUUCGUAAGAGGGUGACUGCGUACCUUUUGUAUAAUGGGUCAGCGACUUAUAUUCUGUAGCAAGGUUAACCGUAUAGGGGAGCCGAAGGGAAACCGAGUCUUAACCGGGCGUUAAGUUGCAGGGUAUAGACCCGAAACCCGGUGAUCUAGCCAUGGGCAGGUUGAAGGUUGGGUAACACUAACUGGAGGACCGAACCGACUAAUGUUGAAAAAUUAGCGGAUGACCUGUGGCUGGGGGUGAAAGGCCAAUCAAACCGGGAGAUAGCUGGUUCUCCCCGAAAGCUAUUUAGGUAGCGCCUCGUGAA